GGGUGCAAUCAUUCCAGCACUAAUCCACCAUAUCGAAUUAGAACUCCCCAAUUAAGUGUGCUUGUGCGAGUGUAGUAUUAGGUGGGAGACCUCCUAGGAAGUCCUCGUGUUGUACCCC
rnacentral:rRNA from 1 species